GACAAACUCUUCGCAUUCAUAGAAGGUUUGAAACCUCAUGCCCGUAUGGAACUACAGCGACAACGGGUAGACACCCUGCCCAAGGCCAUUCAAGCUGCAGAAUGCCUUGGCGACUAUCAUUUGGGAACUCAGAACGACAGGCCCCAGCCGUCUGUCCGAGGGGGAUUCAACGGGCACCAUCCCAGCAAUGGUGGCCCAAGCAAAAGUGGGGGAGAUCGGAGUGCAUCCAAAACUAAGACUCCUCCCUCUAACAGCAACAGUGCUGCAUCCAUCAACAAAAGGCGUUGCGUAACAGUUAUUAUGUUUAAAUUGUCUAUUGUGCCCGUUUUUGCUGUUAACGUGUUCUGAUCUGGAGUGGAGUCCAAAGCUACUUCGCUACCGUGUUACGAUGUCAAUCACCACUGCGCUCUCUUGGUUAAUCUGUUUUCUCUCUCCUCACGCCAACGUUCAAAGUUUUGUUAUUCCAAGAUAUCUCACAGUAAUAAGUUUGUGAAGAAAUGUCUUCUGACUGAAGGAACAAACAUAUACAGAAGAUACAAAGAGGAAUCCUUAGUGGAAAAGCUUAUUGCAGAAGCAUCCGUAGGAGAAAAUUGCUGUGUUAUUAUAUUCAUCAUCGAUGUCUGAUUCAUAUCAGCAGAUACUGCUGGAAGACCAUAUGACUUCGGCAUUGAAGCUUCUGUAUUUGUUGGUUUGUACAUUCAAAGCAUUCCAUUGACUUGAAAUAACAAAAUAUUAGAGAAAUAGAUGGCUUAUAAAGAGUAACAUUUUUGUGAUAACUUUAUAAUCUUCUAUUUCUCUUUUGGACACAAGCUCAUUCCUUGCUGAUAUUGUCACCAUACCUCAA